rnacentral:rRNA from 1 species
GCAAGUCGAGGGAGCCUUCGGGCGACCGGCGAACGGGUGAGUAACACGUAGGUCACGUACCUUCUGGAGGGGGAUAGCCCGGGGAAACCCGGAUUAAUACCGCAUAUGCCGAGAGGUAAAAGCAGCAAUGCACCAGAAGAUCGGCCUGCGGCCCAUUAUUUAAUCCUAGUUGGUGAGGUAACGGCUCACCAAGGGUACGAUCCCUAGCUGGUUUGAGAGGAUGAUC